UACGGGGGGGGCAAGCGUUGUUCGGAAUUACUGGGCGUAAAGGGUUCGUAGGUGGCCUGCUAAGUCAGACGUGAAAUCCCUCAGCUCAACUGGGGAACUGCGUCUGAGACUGGCAGGCUUGAGUGCAGGAGAGGAACGCGGAAUUCCAGGUGUAGCGGUGAAAUGCGUAGAUAUCUGGAGGAACACCGGUGGCGAAGGCGGCGUUCUGGACUGGUCCUGACACUCAGGAGCGAAAGCGUGGGGAGCGAUCCGG
rnacentral:rRNA from 1 species